UAAUUGUUACAGGCCUCUUGAUUCUAUUCUGGGUCAUCACUGUCCAAAGGUAAAGAAGAGAAUGAGCAUGGACUUUGGAACUUUCCUAACCUAACCAAGUAAGUUUGAGUUGUAGCACAAAAUAACAUAGUCUCUGAAUCUUGAGCCCUGUGCUAACUCCUCAAAAAAGCUCUGAGGUUUGUGUGAGAGUUUGUACUGGCCAUUUGAGAAAAGGGCUGGACUUUGGAGGAAGCCUUGAGAACACUCUGACUCUGAAGAAAAUUAAGCAAGCAUUACGUCUGGGAAAAAGAUGAAAGAAAAAAAGCCUGAAGGCCUCGUGAGCCAUUCAUGGAGAGACGGAUCCUUCUGGCAUAGGGGUCACCAUGAACUGGUGGAGAAAAUUCAAGAAACAAAAGAACAGACGCUGUCUCCUCCAUCAGAUCCAGAUGCUUCUUGAUGCCGAACCUCUCAAAAGGGGCUCAGAAUUCUUCCCAAUAACUGAGGCAACUGGUGAGACAAUUUCAACAAAAGAGCAAGACGCAUGUUAAAGGUCACCCCAAGGUCCAAGAUGCCUGCUGCAACUCCAACAACACAACCAUCUUCUAGCAAUUAAGAAAGAGGAUACUUCUAGAAGUUGCACAAUCUUCUGUUUCCAUCCAUUUGCUCAGAACCUAGCCAAAUGUUUAUCUGUGUCUGCAAGGAAUGCUGAAAAGUGUGAUAUUUAUCUUGGUUAGCCAUAUAUCUAGCUGAAAAGGGUUCUGUUAUGAUGGCUCAGAUGAGAAGUUGGUGUAAGAGCAAGAAAUGUUGUUUACUACAUAGUGGGAUGGAAAUUUUAAGGGAAAGAAAAAAACAAAGUAAAAACUCACAUUCAUCACAACUGAGAUGGGAAUGAAUGGAUAGAAAAUCUUCACAGCCAAGAACACAGUAAGUAAAGCAAGCAGACAGCCCUCAGACUGGGAGAAGAUAUUUGCAGGAUAUGUCUCCAACAAAGGUUUAUUUAAUAACCACAAUCCACAGAGAACUCAAAUGUAUAAGCAAGAGAAGCACAAGUAAUCCCAUCACAGGCUGGGCAAGGGACUUGAAGAGAAACUUCUUUGAAGAAGACAUGCUCAUGGCCUACAGACAUAUGAAAUAAUGCUCAUCAUCCUUAAUCAUCAGAGAAAUGCAAAUCAAAACUACCUUGAGAUACCAUCUAACUCCAGUAAGAUUAGCCCAUAUCACAAAAUCCCAAGACCAGAGAUGUUGGCGUGAAUGUGGAGAAAAGGGAACACUUCUACACUGCUGGUGGGAAUGUAAAUUAAUACAUUCCUUCUGGAAAGAUGUUUGGAGAACACUUAGA